rnacentral:rRNA from 1 species
UCGAAACGACUCUCGGCAACGGAUAUCUCGGCUCUCGCAUCGAUGAAGANCGC